rnacentral:tmRNA from 1 species
GGGGGUGAAAUUGGCUUCGACGGGGUUGAAGAGACAUUGAACUGCACAUCGUGUUCCCCGAGUACACGUUAAACAAUUGGGAAUAAAACAAUAACUGGCGAAUAUAACUACGCCUUAGCUGCUUAAUUAAACAAGCAGCCGUUCUCCUUUCUCUCUCAUGCCGGGGUUUGGAAGAACGUCGUUUAGGUAUGAUAGCUGAUUCUGCUGCCUGUGCUGAUGAUGCGAAACUAAAGCAGGCAAGCUUAAAGUGAUCCAGGUCUGUUUGGUAAUUUUAAGUUAAAACAAAAACAGACUAAGUGUGUAGAUGUUCUUUGGUUCUUAACUUCGGACGCGGGUUCGACUCCCGCCACCUCCACUA